ensembl:lncRNA novel transcript
UCAGCAUCAUGCUCUGCAGAGCUACUCUCCAGAAUGACCAACUCUAUAGGAUUUUAUAAAGAGAAGAUUUAAAAGAAAGAAUAAAAGGGAAAGGAUUCUUGACGUCCCAGUUUAGGAAACUCUCUAAAAAGAGCAGUAUGAGUACUAUGAGAAAUGAGCCAAUUCUAAUCUUCCCUACAUGCAGAAGGCACUGUCACAGAUGGUGAGCACACAGCCACAUAAGGCUAUGACCCUUCUCUACUCAUCCCCUCUUUGUGUGGUUGUACCUUGAGGAAUCAGAAGCUCAGCUGCUGAGCACAAAACAAGAUAAUCAAAGAUGGUGGAAGAAGUCAAUUGGAUGUCUCCUCCCUAAUGGGGUUUCCAGAUCUGAAGCAGUGUCAAGCUGAUAGAAGGGAUGCAGCAUCAGAGAACAAAACUAUCUCUUGCCUCAUGGAGCACACCUUUUGUGAAAGAAACAGACAAGAUGCCCAUGAAAUAAUUAUGUAUCAGGUGACAAUAGUUGCAAGGAAGAAACAAUAAUCUAUGCAAGGAAGAAACAAUAAUCUAUGCAAGGAAAGAGACUAAGGGAAGACACUGCUUCACUGGGGAUGACUGAGGAGAUGACAUUUGAACAGACUGAAGUGAGAAAGCCACAUGGAUAUCUGAGGAAAAAGCUUUCUUGACAGAGAGAAUAGCAAGUGCAAAGGCCCUGAGGCAACAGUGUUUUUAUUGGACAUGAGCACCAUGGCUGUCAGAUAAAAACAAAGAUAUUUUAGAUUUUAGUAACAGAACAGUAAGGAAUGAAUAUUACUGUAUACUCUUUACUGAUCAAAUUUCCAUGAGCAUAUUGUGUUCAAUUCAGUUUUUGGUAUCACAGUUUAAAGAACACUGAUGAAUCCGAGCGAGUCAAGAAAAAAGUACUCAGGAUAAUGAGGGGGUCUGGAAAUGGUGUAACUGGAAUAACGGCAGGAAAUCUAGUUGCUUAAUUGAAGAAAAAGAUGACCUGACAUGGACACAAGAAGGUGGUCAUGUUGUCAUGAUAAACUCAUUUGGUUUGGCUUCAGAAAACAAAACUAGAAUGAAAAUUAUAGAGCAGAGCUUAGCCAAGUAUAAGAAAGAAAAUUCUAACAACUACACCUUUUCUAAAGAUGAACAUUAGUAGUGAAUCCUAGUCCUGGAGUUAGUCUGGGGUUGAGCACUCCUUGUCACAGGAUCCUGUGAGGUUAGUCCCUUCCAUCAGGAGGAGCCAGAUUGCCACUAUUAUUUUGCAGAUGACACGUCAGUUAGCCCGGGAUGAUGAAAACUUACUUCCAAUGGGUACCACUGGAAUUGCCCCCAGUGGGGUAGCAUUCUGGUGAGUGUCAUUACUGGACCUUUUUUGUUUGUUUGUUUGUUUUUUGAGACAGAGUCUCGCUCUGUCACCGAGGCUGGAGCACAGUGGCGUGAUCUUGGCUCACUGCAACCUCCACCUCCCGAGUUCAAGUGAUUCUUCUGCCUCAGCCUCACAAGUAGCUGGGAUUACAGGUGCACGACACCACGCCCAGUUAAUUUUUUGUAUCUUUAGUAGAGACAGGGUUUCACCAUGUUGGACAGGCUGGUCUCGAAUUCCUGACUUCAUGAUCUGCCCGCCUUGGCCUCCCAAAGUGCUGGGAUUACAGGUGUGAGCCACCAUGCCUGGCCUAUUACUGGACCUUUUACUUGUGGGGUUCAUGGAACAAUACAGCUGAAAUACCACUGGUCACUCUGGAGAAAAGAACUAAAUUUACAGAAUCCUAGAACCUCAAGUUGGAGCAGGCCUGAGACAUCCUUCAGACAAAGACCAUUCACGGCUAGAGCUUGAAGAGGGAGGUGGCAACUGUCCUCUCAGCACGUGUGGAAUGUGGAGAUAGAGGCAUCUGGCCUCUAAUUCAGUAGCAGAUUGUGUUGUUUAACAAAUGCUUAUCUGAGCAGAUGAUGGUUCUAUUAUGAUAGGUGUUAAUCAAAGCUAUUGUCACAGAAGUACAGUCUUUUGUUACAAUCUGUUCUUUGAUAAAUGUGCAAAAUAUAUCAUGGGGACUUUUCCUAGAAUUAACAUUGCCUG